rnacentral:lncRNA from 1 species
CGUGUAUUUUUUCUUCUUUUUUAUUAUAAUACUUUAUAGAAAAACCAUACCAAAGUGAAAAUACAUCUAGUAGAAGUUACUAUUCCAAAAAUACACAGAACAGCCAAAGUUAUGACCAAUCUGAUGAUUUUAACGAUUUUCAUCGAGCUUUUUACGAAGAAGUUCGUAGAAUGAGAGAAAAUGAGAAGAAAGAACAAUAUAGAGUAAAUUUUUAUUUUAUUUAUUUUUAUUAUUAUAAUACUCAUAACUAAAAUUAUUCUAUUUUAAUUUGUUUUGUUCUGUUUACUUAUUUCUUAUGUUUUUUUUUUUUUUUUUUUUAUGCAGAGAUACGCAAAUAAUACGAACAGCUACUCAUUCAAUGAUUUUGUCCAUAAAUAUGCUAGGGAAUACUUUUAUAUAAAUUUAAUUUUUAAAUUAUUCCCCCUAUUUGUAGUUCCUUUUUUAUUUUUUUUUGUUGUAUAUAAGCAUUACAUUUUGAAAGCACACUUGAGGGAAAAACCUGUACUCCUGUAUGAUUCUUAUGGAAGAGCUUAUUUGGUAGAUAUGCAAGGAAGAAAAUUUAGGUAAAAUAUAUUAAAAAAAAAUGCUUUGUAAUAAAUGUGAUGGCACUAUAUAGACA